AGUGAUCCCAGGAAUGGUGGCACAACCUUCAACCUUAGCUCUCAGUAGGCUGAGGCAGUAGGUCUUUGUAAGUUCGAAGCCAGCCGGAUCUACACAGAGAGCUCCAAGUCAGCCAAGGCUACACAUAGAAACAUUGUUCCAAACAAAAACCAAACUCCAGGACAAGGCUGUGAAUUUGUGAGGCAGAAUCUACAAUGAGUGGAGAGCCCAUGCAGCUAAGAAAUCUGUUCCAUGCCCCACAGCUUGUGACUGUGGGACUCUGUGGACAUGAAACCUGGCUUGUAACUUCACACCUUCAUUGGGGUAGCAAGCUGGUCUGAAGCUCAAGACCACAUGAAACCCUACAGAGUCUGCUUCUCCCUGCUUCCUGUUCCUCUACAUCGCUGGCUCUGUCUCAGUUUCCCACCUGGACACCAGCAUGACUUUCAGACAGCAGUCACUCUGACUCUGGAGCCCAACUGAGACUGACCAGAUCAAUCGGCUUUCAGAAAUGGGGAUGUGACAAGUGACACCAGCUAAACCUCCUCUAGCGACUGUGCCACACACAAGGAAAGAUGCACUGUAGAGCGAGGGGGACAGAGUUAUGCUCGGGCUCUCUGGAUGGCAGCUUUGGA
rnacentral:lncRNA from 1 species